AGCUUCCUUUGCCUGGUGGUCGCUGCUCGGCUUCCCCCCACCACAGGAUCCCGUUGAAGUGAGGGCCUUUGGUGCGAUCACAGGAACACGACUCCGGUGUCGACCCAUCAGGAGGAAUAUGAUAUCUACGAUCCCAGAGGAUAUGGUCCAUUGUUGUUGCCAUUUCUGAAGAAAAGGGCAAAAAUUAUAGAGAUACUCGCUGCCCAUUAUAUUGUUUUUACUCUUGUUGUCCAUAUGUAUACUUGUUGCAAUAACGCUGAAACUUAUCAUUUCAAUUUUAGGAUGUUGGAUGAUGACUUGCAUUUUGUGUCUUCUUUUGCAGAGACUAACGAGAGGAUUUGUUUUCUAGAUUUUUGUCCAGAUGAGGUUAUAUGGAACUUGUUUUACAACAAAAAUAAUAAUUGACUCAUUGCUGGUGUGACUAACAUUCGCGAUGUUGUUGGUGAAGAUCCUAUUGAAUGGAACUACAACGACCUCAUGCGCCACCCCUGAAGCAUAUCAAACGAUUCCUUAAUGUUUUCCCCCGCUUGUCGUAUGGAUGGCAUGCCGUAAAUGUGUUUGGAUGGUAUGUUGUUGUUGCUAUGUGAACAACCUAUGGAUUAGAUUCAUAGACAUUUGGAGUUAUCUUUCGUGUGGUGAGAAUUGUGUUUAU